CAUUGAUUUCUGUUAGUGCUUGAAGUCUUGCUGAGGCAAGCACCGUGAAGCCUUUGGUUACAGAAAGGGAUAUUGAUCUACAGCCGUAGCCUCUGCACCCAGCAAGACAUUUGCUGUCAAAGGGUUACAUAAAAGAGCCACAGGAGUUCCAAAGCAUCCAUAGCUGACUCUGAUUUCAGUGCAGAUACGGAAGUCUGUGGAGACUAUAUGGCCCACAGAUGGUACUGUAUUCUGAACAGAAUUAUUGCGUCAGAAGCUUAGAUCUAUCUGGCUGGAUUUCUUCUAGAAAGCUGAAGUAAUUUGGAAUGCAAUUGCCAGCUGAAGGGAGGCUUUGAAUGUUCUGAGGUGACAUAGGGUGAAGCCUUUUGGCUCUUCAUAAGUUGGUAGUUGGGGUUGUUAAGGGCUGUGAAUGUUCUUAUGGUAUAAAGUAACCAAAAUAAGCAUAAACACGUCUAAAUGGGUUCAAACAAUGUGUAUGAAAAGCUAACUGAUCGGGGAAGCUACAGUCUGCUUAAAUUCCAGCUAAACAGAAAUUUUCAAGGUCUCAUUAAUUUAGAGGAGGGGAGGAAAUCAAGACUUGUAGCUAGGCAAGCUAUCUGCAUAUUCUUCUCAGUUCAGACUUCAGUAUAUACUAUCCUGGAAAUCAGUUUUCACAGCUGCAAAGGAAAUUCCAUUGCCUUUCAGUUGCUGUGUUACGGCAUGAUUUUUGUUCCAAACUAAACUCCUUGGUUUCACUGCUUCUAAAACUAAGUAGCAGUGUUGUAUGCUACGACACUGUGGGAUAUCAAAAGUGUAGUGCCCACCACUGACAUCAUUACGGAGACGACCCAUUUAGCGGUAGUAACCCCAGAAGCUCCAUGUAAAUCCCGUUCCUUACCCAGUGGUGCUGCUGCAGUAGGUCUAGCCAGUGCUUGUGUUGGGAGCUGCAACUUGACAAAUGGCACCUUCUGCAGCUGAGCGUAAUUGUCAAACGUAGGGCAAAAAUAAAAGGCUUGCAAAGGCUACUUGAUAGUGAGUGAGAACAAACUGUAGUGUGCUUUAGGGCGCUGACAUGUUAUACAAGGGUUAUGUUAACAAGAGCUGGCAGUAUGUUUUUGAGCAGAAAAUGGAAAAGUAUGGAAGAGAAUGUUUUUUGAUGGAUUACCAGAAAUAGAAAUAACUGCGUCUCUAGUAAGGAGUCUGGUCUUCCUUCAGAGCUUAAUCCAGCUUGCUGUUCGGGUACAGAGCUGCAUAAUGGCAGUUCAAGUUGGAUUCCAUUGCUUUUCUUUUACUGAACAAUCCAACAUAUUGCCCCUGUAGCACUUUGUUUGGCACACAAAAGCCAGCAGUCAAACCAGGGUGUCUCAUUUGACAGUGCAGAACACUACCAUAAUUUGUUCCCUUUCAUUCUGCUCUGCACUUUCUCCUGAGUUUCCAGAACGUGUAGGUGUACUUGACAUAAGCAAGGAGUGUGUCUCUGUCUCUGAGCCUACGUACCAGGUGUAAUGUAGACAGAUUUCCCAAGGCUUUAUGACAUCUGAGGUUCAGGAUAAAAGGUAACUUACUGUUUAGCGUGUCCCGUGUAAGUCUUGUCUGCUUCUCCUCUUCCCCUCCAAAUGAGCACGUUUGCAGGUCAAAUAAAAGGCGUCUGGUUUGUGAUGCCUUAGGCAUGAAGAACCGCAUGGAGAAACUGAAGGAAAAUGGCACAGGCCCACAAACCAAAUCUUAGAGCUAGUAUUCUAAUUAUGCAUGAUUCACAAUGUCUAGUGUAAUGUAGUUAUUACCAGUAAAUGGAGAUAUGCAUUUAUACAUAAUGAAGCAAUAGGAAAUUAUAUACCAAUAGCUUGAACUUCCUGCUUUGAUUCUCAAAUUUUGGGAUUGUUUUGUUUUUGUUUUUAGAGAAUGUGCUGCCUCUGUAGAGAAGGAGGCAGAAUGUAUAGAUAGGGUCAGAAGCAUGGCACCAAAACUGUAAAUCAGGAACCAGGAUCAGCAGAACUCGCCUUCAUAACCUCUUGUCUGGUUCGUAUUAGUGCCCUGAGCAUGUAUAAAGCAGGGCAUGAACUAAGCAUGUUUAGGGGCGAGAUGAGGUUUCUCACCUGCUGCAGCUGUAGCAAAGAAAAGGGUGCAGAGUUUCUUACAUGGUGCAGGGGGGAGCAACUGGUGGAAAAAAGGGAACAACGGUAACAGAAGCAACAGACUCAAAAUGAGUGUAGUAUUUGACAGACGGUAGGUAAUAAGCUUGUCUGUGGUGAGAGAAAUUAUUUGGAGAAGACUGAAAUUAAUAAGCACAGUACAUAUAUUUCAGGUGUUGAAUAGCUUUUUAAUAGACAGUAUUUUCAGGUAACUCUCUAGCCACAUAGGCAGCUGUACUGAAGCAUACUGGUACCAGCCAGCAAUAAUGGCAUCUGCAGGAACGAACCUGAAAAUACUGGUAAUCUUGUAUAUUUUUUAAGUUCUUUGAAAAGGAGAUUUUUAAAAUCAGAAAAUGAGAUUUGAUCACUGAAGGUCUUUAUCUUCUGCAACACGGGUUGCAAUAUAAUCUUUUUUUCUUUAUUUCACUUAUUAAAUAAGAGGGAACUUGGGUGCCAUCUUUCUGUAAACUUUUAUUCUGCUUUCUGUAAUAUCUCCCAAGUCCUUUAGUGAAUAACGCAGUGGAUUUCUGCUGGUGGUUUGAAAAUAACGUAGAACGUGGCACAGUCCAUGUCACCAACGCUUUUCCUAUUUUGAAGUAGAAUACUAGCGUGUUACUGCAGAAUUCCAUACUUGUAGCUUAGCUUAAUUUUGCAGGUGGGCUUAACUUGUGCAGAAAACUUCUCUGUGUACAGGGGCUCGGUCCUCUUUCUGAAGCAGAAAGGGGUGGUGUCUCGGAGGAAGGAAUUGUGUCAAGUUAACUCCUGGUCAUGCUUUGUAGCCAACCAUCCAUAAAGCUCCAUGAUUUGGGUUUAGAAUGGGGCCAUGUUUUUCUCACGAAUGCUUUCUAGAUAUACAAGAAUUGCCAAAUAAAUAUAGGAAUAUUAUAAGAGAAGAUUUAACUAUUUUACUGUACCGAAGUUAGAUUAAAUGAAAUCCUUCGAGCCAACUUCUUCAAGACAAAACGGAAUUGGUAAAACAAGUUUAGCCCAGCAGUUAACUGUGACCACCUAAUGCUGAGUUGGGUAUUUUUUUAGAACAUUUCACAUGGUUUUAAACUGUUAUGUGUGUUUUCUUUUGUGUGAUGAGUAAGCACUUGGAUCCAUUGUUCGUGCUUAUCCUCUCCAAUAGAAAACCCGGGGAGUAAGCUACUUUAGGACUUCAGUGAAGUUAUCUUCCUUUUGAGAAACAUGAUCUAACAGCAAAGGAGAAGUAGUAAUUACAGAUUGUUUGAAAAUAGCUCAAUACUUACAAACCAGGUUGGAGAAGACUUCUUACACUGAACUUCUGAUGGCAUUACUCACGUGGGUUAGUGGAGACAAUUACCGGUGUCGCUAGGAUCUGUGUGCUCGCAUUGCACGUGUUUUACAUGGUAACAGUAAAAGAAUGUUUCCCUGCAAAUUCUGAUGUUUUUUCCAAAAGGCAGCUUGCUUUUAUAUCUAUGCAUCUUUGAGGAUUUCAAGAUAAGAUUUUAUUCUUUUGACGCUGUAAAGAGGAACUGUUUAAAAAUGAACUUGGAAACUCUGCACCUGUAUACAAAUUUUUUUAGCAAUAAAGCAGCACAGGCUGAGAAU
ensembl:lncRNA